UUAAUUAAAACCAUAAGGUAAAUUAUUGUUAAUAAUUUUUUGAAUAUUAAAAUUAUUCUAAUUAAA
rnacentral:tRNA from 1 species